GAGCCUAACACACCACCUCUCUCUCCGUAUAAAAAGUGGACUGUCUGUCUCAGAGUCAGUUGGAGUAAAGAAGAGCAGCACCCACCAGUUCAGCUUCAGCUUCCAACCAUGUUCCCUGCAUCUCUGCUGCUCCUGCUGGCAGCUGCCUCCUGUAUUCAUGGUCAGACGCUGACUGAGUCUGGACCUGUGGUUAAAAAGACUGAAGAAUCACACCAACUGACCUGUACAUAUGAUGGAAUCUCAAACGAUAACGCUGCCAUUGGCUGGAUCAGACAGGCUCCUGGGAAAGGGCUGGAGUGGGUUGCUUUUAUUUCCGCUCCAAGUGGUAGUACUAUCUCCUACUCCCAGUCUGUUAAGAAUCGGUUCACCAUCUCCAGAGACAACAGCAAACAGCAGGUGUAUCUCCAGAUGAACAGUCUGAAGACUGAAGACUCUGCUGUUUACUAUUGUGCCAGAGACACAGUGACACAGGAGGCUGCAGCACUGUACAAAAACUGAUCAAGCACAUCUCUCACUGGCAGAAUCAAAUGUGAUGUGAGACAGACAAACUAAGGAUCCAGCAUAAAUUCCAAGUUUAUUGAAAGCAUAUCAUUCCUCAUCAACCUCAAUGCAGCUUAAUCCACUCCUCUGGCCAUGUGCUGUUAGUCAGUACACAUCUAUCUUCUUGAUGACAGCUUAUUUACAUUCAUCUGUAUAUCAACCUAAUCAUAUUCAGAGUUUGAUUUACUGGUAGGGAUUAAUGUCCUCAUUAAGCAUAAUGAAAUAUAAAAGCAUAAUUGUGAUAGCAGAAUUUAUCUGUUAACUAAAAAGAGUAAUGGGUCAUGUAUA